UUAACUAUUAUAUAGUACUCAGACGACACUAAUAUUCAGGGUUUGGGUCCUCUGGCGGGCGCUCAUCAGCCGGAGCCGGUGGCCUGACCGAAGCCGGGCGGCCCGCCAAAGCAACAAAGAUAGUAUAACAUAGGGUGGGAGAUCUACCCUUACGGGCAAAAACUCUGUAAUGAUCCCUCCGCAGGUUCACCUACGGAGA
rnacentral:misc_RNA from 1 species